rnacentral:rRNA from 1 species
AUUGAACGCUGGCGGCAUGCUUUACACAUGCAAGUCGAACGGUAACAGGGUGCUUGCACCGCUGACGAGUGGCGAACGGGUGAGUAAUGCGUCGGAACGUGCCGAGUAGUGGGGGAUAACGCAGCGAAAGUUGUGCUAAUACCGCAUACGUACUGAGGUAGAAAGUGGGGGGCCUUCGGGCCUCACGCUAUUCGAGCGGCCGACGUCUGAUUAGCUAGUAGGUGAGGUAAAGGCUCACCUAGGCGACGAUCAGUAGCGGGUCUGAGAGGAUGAUCCACCACAUUGGGACUGAGACAAGGCCCAGACUCCUACGGGAGGCAGCAGUGGGGAAUUUUGGACAAUGGGCGAAAGCCUGAUCCAGCCAUGCCGCGUGUCUGAAGAAGGCCUUCGGGUUGUAAAGGACUUUUGUCAGGGAGGAAAUCCCUAGCGUUAAUACCGCUGGGGGAUGACAGUACCUGAAGAAUAAGCACCGGCUAACUACGUGCCAGCAGCCGCCGUAAAAC